GAUGAACGCUGGCGGCGUGCCUAAUACAUGCAAGUCGAGCGAACAGAUAAGGAGCUUGCUCCUUUGACGUUAGCGGCGGACGGGUGAGUAACACGUGGAUAACCUACCUAUAAGACUGGAAUAACUCCGGGAAACCGGGGCUAAUGCCGGAUAACAUUUAGAACCGCAUGGUUCUAAAGUGAAAGAUGGUUUUGCUAUCACUUAUAGAUGGACCCGCGCCGUAUUAGCUAGUUGGUAAGGUAACGGCUUACCAAGGCAACGAUACGUAGCCGACCUGAGAGGGUGAUCGGCCACACUGGAACUGAGACACGGUCCAGACUCCUACGGGAGGCAGCAGUAGGGAAUCUUCCGCAAUGGGCGAAAGCCUGACGGAGCAACGCCGCGUGAGUGAUGAAGGUCUUCGGAUCGUAAAACUCUGUUAUUAGGGAAGAACAAAUGUGUAAGUAACUGUGCACGUCUUGACGGUACCUAAUCAGAAAGCCACGGCUAACUACGUG
rnacentral:rRNA from 1 species